rnacentral:rRNA from 1 species
UGAGGAAUUUUGCGCAAUGGCCGCAAGGCUGACGCAGCAACGCCGCGUGGGUGAAGAAGGCCUUCGGGUCGUAAAGCCCUGUCAGGUGGGAAGAAUGUUUCAAGGAUGAAUAAGCCUUGGAAGUGACGGUACCACCAGAGGAAGCACCGGCUAACUCCGUGCCAGCAGCCGCGGUAAUACGGAGGGUGCAAGCGUUAUUCGGAAUUACUGGGCGUAAAGCGCGUGCAGGCGGGCCUGCAAGUCUGAUGUGAAAGCCCCGGGCUUAACCUGGGAAGUGCAUUGGAAACUGCAGGUCUUGAGUGCUGGAGAGGAAGGGGGAAUUCCCGGUGUAGAGGUGAAAUUCGUAGAGAUCGGGAGGAAUACCAGUGGCGAAGGCGCCCUUCUGGACGGCAACUGACGCUGAGACGCGAAAGCGUGGGGAGCAAACA